rnacentral:rRNA from 1 species
AUGUCCAUCACCACGUCCUCCACCCCGCCCGCGAUCCUCGACAUGCCGGCUCCCGACGUCGCCAGCAAUGGCGCGCGCGCGGCGAGACGGAGGAGGCUGCUGUUGUGCGCCAACUACGUUGCCCUGCUCGGCGGCUCCGUGGCGUCCAGCCUGCUGUCCCGCUACUACUUCGCGCACGGCGGCCGCGAUCGGUGGGUGGCAACGCUGGUGCAGUCGGUCGGGUUCCCGGUGCUGCUCGUGCCCGUCUACGCCGGCCGGCCCGCCGGGCAGCCCCGGCCGUUCGCGUGGUUCACGAGGCGGUUGCUCAUGGCGUGCGUAGUCAUCGGGGUGCUCAUGGGGGUGAACAACCUGCUCUUCUCCUACAGCUCGUCCUACCUGCCCGUGUCCACCUCGUCGCUGCUGCUGUCGACGCAGCUCGCGUUCACGCUCGUGCUCGCCGCCGUCAUCGUGCGCCACCCCGUAACCUUCUCCAACCUCAAUGCCGUCGUGCUCCUCACCCUCAGCUCCGUGCUGCUGGCGCUGCGAUCGUCCGACUCGGCUGAGCAGCCCGACGGGGGGAGCCGGACGAGGUACUUCAUCGGCUUCGCGGUGACCCUGGGCGCGGCGGGGCUCUUCGCGGCCUACCUGCCUGUCAUGGAGCUGCUGUACCGCAGGGCCGUGUCCGGCGGGUUCCGGAUGGUGGUGGAGGUGCAGGUGGUCAUGCAGGCCGCGGCGACCGCGCUGGCGGUGGUCGGACUGGUCGUGGCCGGCAGGUGGGGCGAGGAGCUGGCGCGGUGGGACAAGUCGCCGGCGGCGUACUGGGUGCUGGUGGCCGCGCUGGUGGCGACGUGGCAGGCCUGCUUCAUGGGCACGGCCGGGAUGGUGUACCUCACGUCGUCGCUGCACAGCGGCGUGUGCAUGACCGCGGUGCUCACCGCCAACGUGAUCGGCGGCGUGGUCGUGUUCCGCGAUCCGUUCGGCGCGGAGAAGGGCAUCGCCACCGUCCUCUGCAUCUGGGGAUUCUCCUCCUACCUGUACGGGGAGUACAGCACGCGGCAGAAGCAGCAGGAAGGCGACGGUAAGGUGGCCGCCGCGUCCACCGGAGGCGACUCGGACAAGAGUGUUACAAGUGGCGACGUUGGUGAGGGAGGGGGUGCAGUUGAAACCGUUUGA